AUUGAACGCUGGCGGAAUGCUUUACACAUGCAAGUCGAACGGUAGAGGGGGCAACCCCUUGAGAGUGGCGAACGGGUGAGUAAUAUAUCGGAACGUGCCCAGUCGUGGGGAUAACGUAGCGAAAGUUACGCUAAUACCGCAUACGAUCUACGGAUGAAAGCGGGGGACUCGCAAGAGCCUCGCGCGAUUGGAGCGGCCGAUAUCAGAUUAGGUAGUUGGUGGGGUAAAGGCUCACCAAGCCAACGAUCUGUAGCUGGUCUGAGAGGACGACCAGCCACACUGGAACUGAGACACGGUCCAGACUCCUACGGGAGGCAGCAGGUGGGG
rnacentral:rRNA from 1 species